UAUCCGCGAAACGAAAGCAUCGUGCUCGAUUUCGGCUCGAGUUUUGGCCGCCCAAGUAGUAUAG
rnacentral:tRNA from 1 species